CCUGGCGGCACUAGCGCGGUGGUCCCACCUGACCCCAUGCCGAACUCAGAAGUGAAACGCCGUAGCGCCGAUGGUAGUGUGGGGUCUCCCCAUGCCUGAUCAUGCAGUAUCAGCC
rnacentral:rRNA from 1 species